rnacentral:rRNA from 1 species
AUGGCAGAAUGCUUCAAUAAGGUUCUCAAGGGUGUACGUGCAUUACCCGUGACAGAAAUAGUUCAAUACACAUUUGACAAGAUGAAUGAAUACUUUUUAAAGUACUCAAUGAAGACUGAUAAGCAGAUUGCUGGUGAGAACAAGGAUAAGCGCAAGUACAAUUUCCCACCAAAGGUUGAAGAAUGGUUGGAAUUUCAAUCACGAAAGGCAGACUCCGAAGAAGCUGUACUAUAUGAUGACAACGAGUGGAAGUAUGAGGUGAAAGAGCUCGGAGGAACCACAAACGAUGGCUGCCAACACGAAGGCCGGGCUUUCAAGGUCUCCCUAACACGGUGUGAUUGCAGCUGCAUGAGGCCGUCUUUGCUUCAUCUGCCAUGCUCGCACUUGUUAAAUGCAUCCCGGGUUAGGAAUGUGGACGUCAAUCACCCUCUUACCGUGAGGGAGUCCGAGUUCUCAAUCAUGACGGUAAAGAAUACAUGGACUCCACGGUUCCAGCCAUACAUGGACCAAUCACAAUGGCCGGAGUAUCAUGGAGUUCAACUAUGGCCGGACCCGGAAUUGAAGAGAGGAAGAAGAAGAGAGGAAGAAGAAGAAACUACAUGGACCCUGAUUUGGACAAGUAUAUGUGCUAUGUGUGUAUGA